rnacentral:tRNA from 1 species
GCCCCCGUCGUCUAGCGGCCCAGGACAUCGCCCUUUCACGGCGAAGAUCAGGGGUUCGAAUCCCCUCGGGGGUACCA